AGGCAAACUCCCUUAAACCAUUGUGACGUUACCUAUACCGUUGCUUCGGCGGGCGGCCCCGGGGUUUACCCCCCGGGCGCCCCUGGGCCCCACCGCGGGCGCCCGCCGGAGGUCACCAAACUCUUGAUAAUUUAUGGCCUCUCUGAGUCUUCUGUACUGAAUAAGUCAAAACUUUCAACAACGGAUCUCUUGGUUCUGGCAUCGAUGAAGAACGCAGCGAAAUGCGAUAAGUAAUGUGAAUUGCAGAAUUCAGUGAAUCAUCGAAUCUUUGAACGCACAUUGCGCCCGCCAGCAUUCUGGCGGGCAUGCCUGUUCGAGCGUCAUUUCAACCAUCAAGCCCCCGGGCUUGUGUUGGGGACCUGCGGCUGCCGCAGGCCCUGAAAAGCAGUGGCGGGCUCGCUGUCGCACCGAGCGUAGUAGCAUACAUCUCGCUCUGGUCGCGCCGCGGGUUCCGGCCGUUAAACCACCUUUUAACCCAAGGUUGACCUCGGAUCAGGUAGGAAGACCCGCUGAACUUAAGCAUAUCAAAAACGCGAGAGGAACGAGUUGCAAAACUCCCUAAACCAUUGUGAACGUUACCUAUACCGUUGCUUCGGCGGGCGGCCCCGGGGUUUACCCCCGGGCGCCCUGGGGCCCACGC
rnacentral:rRNA from 1 species